rnacentral:lncRNA from 1 species
UGCAUAAUCAAUUGUACCUUUAGCUCAUCAAAUUUUUUCUAUCAUUUAUUUGACUGUACUUCCCAUGCAUGAGAGAGAAUAUUACUUCCCUCAAGAGUUGUAGAUACUUUGAUCUAUUCUGAAUUGGCAUUUGAGGAAGUAUUGUCCCAUAGUUUCCAUUCCUUUGUUAUUUAGCUCUGGGAUGUUUUUCUCAACUUUAUCUUCCAAAUCACCCAACUUCAUUUUUUAGCCGUUUUCAUUCAUUAUUGAAUUAUUUAAUUCAUUUCUUUAUCUUUUAGAAAUCUUAUUUAAUUUCUAAAAAAUCUCUUACUUCCAGAUUACUUCUUUUUUGGAGUGGUCUAAUUGUGUUUUAGGGAUAUAAUAUCUUCUUGAAUAUAUACUAGGAGACCAAUCAGAUUUUUAGGUUUUCUUCUGUUCUUUACACUAGCUCCAUUUCCCUAGGUCAUUUAUUCUAUUUGUUUAUUUUUGAUAACCUUAGUUUAUGCUAUUGGUUAGGUAACUGUCAACAUGGAUAAAUGAGGAUUAUGCAAUUAGCGUAAGUUAAUGGUAAGAUUUUUGUGGUCAUUACUUGAUUUAGCAAAGGUCCCUUCCUCUUUCUGGUAAGGCUACUAGGGGGCUGGGCUUCUGACAAUCCAGCUUCCCUGUGGAAUGUGUAGGAAGGAAAUAGGCACAUGGCAUCAGUUCUCCCAACAUUGCUAUUGAAAGGGAGAGUUUACUCUGAGGUCAAAAUAAAGUAAUUUUUUUCUUUCAUUCCUGUGGCAGACUGGAGCUGUCUUUUCUUAACAGCCCACGAAGCGACUCACACUUUGGACUGCUGUGUGGGUCUAGAGUUAUCUCCAGCGCUGGUUUCUUUUCUCUAUUCCCAGUUCUCCAGUAGGGACUCGUCUGGAGGCUGAGGUGGAAGAAUCGCUGGAACCCAGCAGGUGGAGUUGCAGUGAGCCGAGAUUGCACCACUGCAUUCCAGCCAGAAGCUGGAAGGAGCAACCAGCCUAUGAAACUGGGAGAUUUCAAGGAGUUAAUGCCCUUAGGAGCAUCUCCCAAUCCAUGCUAGAAAGAAGCUGAUAUAGAAAUAAAUCUCCUUGUUUACCCUCUGUAACACUAUUGUGAGUUAUUUUCUAUGCUCCUCAGAUAGUUUUGGGUGGGAAGGCUAUGUGUGUCCUCCAUGCAGUCCUAAAAAACACACCCUUAUAUUAUCUUUGUCAUUCUUCAUCACUCCUCAAUCCUACUCCCUGAGGAGUAGGAACACAUGUUCUUAUUUUGGGCUUUGUUUACCAAGGGAACUAAAGCUCAAUUAUAAGGCAAAUUAAUAACAGAGAUCCAACUAAGACACAUUUAGAGGAGUCUGAGCAAAAAGAAGAAAUACUUCAUGUGACGCUGAGGCAUUAGUGGCAUUGAAGAAGGCUCUUGUUUUUCUAAAUUCACAAAAGGCAUUGGUAGAUGUGGAAUAGAAUGGAGGAAGUGGGGCCUGAGAGAGCAUUUCCAGAUUUCCUGCCACCUUUCACACUGGAAGCAAGAGAGCAGCUCACAUGAUUCAGAAAACACUGCUGUUCUCUUCCCUCUACAUCCUCACUUCUUCUCCAACCACUGAAGUUUUGACUGACUAUUCUGAAAGUAAAACAUAACACAUACUUGCACAUGUGCACGUGUGUGCACACAGCAACUCUCUAGCAUCGGUCUAUUGCUUUAUCAUUUAUCCAUAUUUAUAUCUAUAAACACAUAUAUAAUACAUUAUAUAUAUAUAGUAUGUGCAUAUAUGCUUGCAUAUUCUUCAUUCCAUGUCAUUUUUACGUUUAAUAUUGCAUUUAGUAGACUUCAAUACACCAUGUAGUCUAACAGCAUUAACUUUUUUCUACAUGGUAGUUGUCCUCUUAUUCACUUAAUUCUAUGACUUCAGUUGACAUUUAAACUACCAGUUUUUAAACUGCCUUAUUUUUCUUUCCUGAACUUCAAUCUUGAUAAAAUUUUUAAGUUAUCCAAAGCACACCUUUAAGUAAAUUUGUGACCUAUAAUUUCUCAAAUUUUGCAGACUUGAGGUUUGUUUCUGUUUUCUUUGUGCACAAAAGGCAGCUUAUUUAAUAAUGCAAUUUUGGAGUCAUAAAUGGUUUUUUGAGCUAAACUGCUAUUUUUUUAAAAAAAAUUGUUGCAGACAAAAAAAUCUGGGAACAAUGUGAUUUUAAUUGCUUUGUUGAAAAUAUACUUGACUUCCUACCUAUCCAUACACCACCACCACCACUCCUGGAUCAUUUAACCAAGGGUUAUUUGUUCAGAUGUUCUUUUAAACAACAUAGUUAAAAAUUAGUUCCUUUCUUCAACAAGCACUUAUUGCAUAUUUCAUAAUUCCUCUUGUAUAAUUCCUAUUGCAACAGGCACUUAUUGUAUAUUUAUGUAUAUCAGACAGUAUUUUAGGUAGUGGGCAAAUAAUAGCAAACCAAAAGACAAAAAUUCCAGUUGUCCUGGAGCUUAAAUUCUAGUAGAGAAAAAAAGACAAUAUGUAAGAUAGGUAAACAUUUAUAAUAUUUUAGAUGGUAGUAAGUGCUAAGUAUUCACC